GACGAACGCUGGCGGCGUGCUUAACACAUGCAAGUCGAACGAAGUGGCGAACGGGUGAGUAACGCGUAAUCAACCUGCCCGUCAGAGGGGGACAACAGUUGGAAACGACUGCUACAACCGCAUACUGACGGAGGGGUUUGUGUCUGAUUAGCUAGUUGGAGGGGUAACGGCCCACCAAGGCGAUGAUCAGUAGCCGGUCUGAGUGUAUGAACUGCACAAUUGGGACUGAGAAACGGCCCAGACUCCUACGGGAGGCAGCAGUGGGGAAUCUUCCGCAAUGGACGAAAGUCUGACGGAGCAACGCCGCGUGAGUGAUGACGGCCUUCGGGUUGUAAAGCUCUGUUAAUCGGGACGCGGUACCGGAAUAGAAAGCCACGGCUAACUACGUGCCAGCAGCCGCGGUAAUAC
rnacentral:rRNA from 1 species